CCUGAGAAACCCAAAAGAUCGAAUGGGGAGAUUCAUCGUCAGCUCAUUUUGUAUAUAUAUAAGUUAUGAUAUGGGUUACUACUUGUAGUAUUGCCUGUACAUUCUUGUAUAUUUAAUUGCAAGAUGUUGUCGGCGUGCACUUCUCCUCUAGUAGGACGUCGCGACCCGUUGAGUGUCGGUCUACGGCCCAAGUGGUAGUCUUUAAUUUUUUUUUAAAAUUGAAGACCCCUGGUGUUUCCUGACUGGCUACUCGGCGGUAUUCGUACGGUAUUAAGCCGCUAUUAUGCGUCCAUAUCCGUCGCAAGCGCGGUCAAUUUUUGGUAGUACGGACCUAGUGCCGUCGCUAUAAUUGAUCAGCUGUUGGUUGUACGGUAUUCUAGGACUGGCUUAAAAAUUAUAUACCGGUC
rnacentral:rRNA from 1 species